GACGAACGCUGGCGGCGUGCUUAACACAUGCAAGUCGAACGGAAAGGCCCUGCUUUUGUGGGGUGCUCGAGUGGCGAACGGGUGAGUAACACGUGAGUAACCUGCCCUUGACUUUGGGAUAACUUCAGGAAACUGGGGCUAAUACCGGAUAGGAGCUCCUGCUGCAUGGUGGGGGUUGGAAAGUUUCGGCGGUGGUGGAUGGACUCGCGGCUUAUCAGCUUGUUGGUGGGGUAGUGGCUUACCAAGGCUUUGACGGGUAGCCGGCCUGAGAGGGUGACCGGCCACAUUGGGACUGAGAUGCGGCCCAGACUACUCCGGGAGGCAGCAGUGGGGAAUAUUGCACAAUGGGCGGAAGCCUGAUGCAGCAACGCCGCGUGCGGGAUGACGGCCUUCGGGUUGUAAACCGCUUUCGCCUGUGACGAAGCGUGAGUGACGGUAAUGGGUAAAGAAGCACCGGCUAACUCCGUG
rnacentral:rRNA from 1 species